AUAUUCACUUUGUGUUUCCCAACAACAUUCGAAAUUUCCAAGAAUUUCAAUCAUUGUUUUCUUCCAUAACUUGAAAAGGUGCGACGUUUGCAAACCCUUAUAACCCCCAAAUACGCCAUUUCAUUGCACCACUAAAUCACGCCUCAUUUUUUCGCGCUUCUCUCUCGCAAUAUUACUGUUCAUCUCCUUGCUUCUCUGCUA
rnacentral:lncRNA from 1 species